rnacentral:rRNA from 1 species
UUGUCUCAAAGAUUAAGCCAUGCAUGUCUCAGUACAAGCCAAAUUAAGGUGAAACCGCGAAAGGCUCAUUAAAUCAGUUAUGGUUCCUUAGAUCGUACCCAGACUUACUUGGAUAACUGUGGUAAUUCUAGAGCUAAUACAUGCAAACAGAGCUCCGACCGGAGACGGAAGGAGCGCUUUUAUUAGAUCAAAACCAAUCGGCGGCGGGCGCGAGCCCGCCGUCGUUCACUCUGGUGAAUCUGAAUAACUUUCUGCUGAUCGCACGGUCUAGCACCGGCGACGCAUCUUUCAAAUGUCUGCCUUAUCAACUGUCGAUGGUAGGUUCCGUGCCUACCAUGGUCGUAACGGGUAACGGGGAAUCAGGGUUCGAUUCCGGAGAGGGAGCCUGAGAAACGGCUACCACAUCCAAGGAAGGCAGCAGGCGCGCAAAUUACCCACUCCCGGCACGGGGAGGUAGUGACGAAAAAUAACGAUACGGGACUCAUCCGAGGCCCCGUAAUCGGAAUGAGUACACUCUAAACCCUUUAACGAGGAUCAAUUGGAGGGCAAGUCUGGUGCCAGCAGCCGCGGUAAUUCCAGCUCCAAUAGCGUAUAUUAAAGUUGUUGCGGUUAAAAAGCUCGUAGUCGAAUCUGUGUCUCGCGCCGCCGGUUCAUCGCUCGCGGUGUUUAACUGGCGUGUCCGCGAGACGUCCUGCCGGUGGGCUUAGCCCGCGAGGGCGGCCCAACUUUCAAUCCCGCCGCGGUGCUCUUCAUUGAGUGUCGAGGCGGGCCGGCACGUUUACUUUGAACAAAUUAGAGUGCUUAAAGCAGGCUAAAACUUCGCCUAAAUACUAUGUGCAUGGAAUAAUGGAAUAGGACCUCGGUUCUAUUUUGUUGGUUUUCGGAACCCCGAGGUAAUGAUUAAUAGGAACGGAUGGGGGCAUUCGUAUUGCGACGUUAGAGGUGAAAUUCUUGGAUCGUCGCAAGACGGACAGAAGCGAAAGCAUUUGCCAAAAA